CAGCCGCCGCGGUAAUACGAAGGGGGCUAGCGUUGUUCGGAAUUACUGGGCGUAAAGCGCACGUAGGCGGAUAUUUAAGUCAGGGGUGAAAUCCCGCAGCUCAACUGCGGAACUGCCUUUGAUACUGGGUAUCUUGAGUAUGGAAGAGGUUAGUGGAAUUGCGAGUGUAGAGGUGAAAUUCGUAGAUAUUCGCAGGAACACCAGUGGCGAAGGCGGCUAACUGGUCCAUAACUGACGCUGAGGUGCGAAAGCGUGGGGAGCAAACAGGAUUAGAGACCCCGGUAGUCCCUGUCUCUUAUAA
rnacentral:rRNA from 1 species